GGGUUGUUUCUCAGUUGGUAGAGCGAUCACCUGGCACGUGUGAAGCACUGGGUUCGAUUCUCAGUAGCACA
rnacentral:tRNA from 1 species